rnacentral:rRNA from 1 species
UAUCUGCCGUGGGCGCUGGAGAAUUGAGGGGGGCUGCUCCUAGUACGAGAGGACCGGAGUGGACGCAUCACUGGUGUUCGGGUUGUCAUGCCAAUGGCACUGCCCGGUAGCUAAAUGCGGAAGAGAUAAGUGCUGAAAGCAUCUAAGCACGAAACUUGCCCCGAGAUGAGUUCUCCCUGAGACUUUAAGUCUCCUGAAGGAACGUUGAAGACGAUGACGUUGAUAGGCCGGGUGUGUAAGCGCAGCGAUGCGUUGAGCUAACCGGUACUAAUGAACCGUGAGGCUUAACCUUACAACGCCGAAG